rnacentral:lncRNA from 1 species
UAAAAUUAGCUGCUUUAUUCCUCUUUUCGGGUCUAUCCUAUACAUACUGUUAAUAUGAACUGAGAGUAUUUCCAUGUGAUUGAGUUUCUACUGAUAUGCUGGAGCUGGUCCCUUCUGUGCAAAUGACUUGAUAUGAGCUGGUUUUUGUGGUUUUCUGUGUUCGAAGUCUUCAUGAAAGUUAAAGAUGGUUCGAUUAUCUUUCUAAUGAGCUAUAGAAUGCCCUAAUGGGACUUCAUUAAAUAUGAUUUUUGUCUGUCUAAAGUCUGGUCCAGAAUCUGCCAAAUGUUUGUCUCUCUGUUUUGGAUGACCUUCUGUGCAAAUCACUUGAUAUGAACUGGUAGAUGAUGUUAUUAGGACUUAAUGUCUUCUAGAUAAUUGUAAUAGGCAUCUCAAGCUUUAAAAUGACAUAUUGCAUGCCUGAAUCGACCAUCAUUUGCCAUGUUUUACAUUUUUUUUUCUAAUCCAUUCUGAAAUCUGGAAUUUGCCUUGGUCAGAAAUGCAUAUUCUGUUUUUGGGUGUGCCUGAUUGUCUGCCACUUUCCUACGAUCUUUUGAGCAUAGAUUUUGAGGUUGAUAAUACCAAAAAAGUAAAUCACGUGUGGGAUGGUCUUGCUCUAUUGUUCUCU